UGGGGAAUAUUGCACAAUGGGCGCAAGCCUGAUGCAGCCAUGCCGCGUGUAUGAAGAAGGCCUUCGGGUUGUAAAGUACUUUCAGCGGGGAGGAAGGGAGUAAAGUUAAUACCUUUGCUCAUUGACGUUACCCGCAGAAGAAGCACCGGCUAACUCCGUGCCAGCAGCCGCGGUAAUACGGAGGGUGCAAGCGUUAAUCGGAAUUACUGGGCGUAAAGCGCACGCAGGCGGUUUGUUAAGUCAGAUGUGAAAUCCCCGGGCUCAACCUGGGAACUGCAUCUGAUACUGGCAAGCUUGGGUCUCGUAGAGGGGGGUAGAAUUCCAGGUGUAGCGGUUAAAUGCGUAGAGAUCUGGAGGAAUACCGGUGGCGAAGGCGGCCCCCUGGACAAAGACUGACGCUAAGGUGCGAAAGCGUGGGGAGCAAACAGG
rnacentral:rRNA from 1 species